rnacentral:rRNA from 1 species
GAUGAACGCUGGCGGCGUGCCUAAUACAUGCAAGUCGAGCGAACGGACGAGAAGCUUGCUUCUCUGAUGUUAGCGGCGGACGGGUGAGUAACACGUGGAUAACCUACCUAUAAGACUGGGAUAACUUCGGGAAACCGGAGCUAAUACCGGAUAAGAUUUUGAACCGCAUGGUUCAAAAGUGAAAGACGGUGUUGCUGGCACUUAUAGAGGGAUCAGCGCUGGAUUGGCUAGUUGGUAAGUUAACGGCUUACCAAGGCAACGAUGCAUAGCCGACCUGAGAGGAUGAUCGGCCACACUGGAACUGAGACACGCUCCAGACUCCUACGGGACGCAGCAGUAGGGAAUCUUCCGCAAUGGGCGAAAGCCUGACGGAGCAACGCCGCGUGAGUGAUGAAGGUCUUCGGAUCGUAAAACUCUGUUAUUAGGGAAGAACAUAUGUGUAAGUAACUGUGCACAUCUUGACGGUAACUAAUCAGAAAGCCACGGCUAACUACGUG